GACGAACGCUGGCGGCGUGCUUAACACAUGCAAGUCGAACGGAAAGGCCCUGCUUUUGUGGGGUGCUCGAGUGGCGAAAGGGUGAGUAACACGUGAGUAACCUGCCCUUGACUUUGGGAUAACUUCAGGAAACUGGGGCUAAUACCGGAUAGGAGUUCCUGCUGCAUGGUGGGGGUGGGAAAGUUUCGGCGGUUGGGGAUGGACUCGCGGCUAAUCAGCUUGUUGGUGGGGUAGUGGAUUACCAAGGCUUUGACGGGUGGGCGGCCUGGGAGGGUGGCCGACCACCUUGGCUCGAAGUUAGGGCCGGGCCACCUUCGUGCGGCAGGCGGGGGGAAUGUUGAACACUGGACGGACGCCUGAUGCAGCAACCCCGCGUGCGGGAAGACGGCCUUCGGGUUGUAAGCCGCUUCGCCUGUGACGAAGCGUGAGUGACGGUAAUGGGUAAAGAAGCACCGGCUAACUACGUG
rnacentral:rRNA from 1 species